GACGUUAGCGGCGGACGGGUGAGUAACACGUGGAUAACCUACCUAUAAGACUGGGAUAACUUCGGGAAACCGGAGCUAAUACCGGAUAAUAUAUUUGAACCGCAUGGUUCAAUAGAUGAAAGACGGUUUUGCUGUCACUUAUAGAUGGAUCCGCGCCGCAUUAGCUAGUUGGUAAGGUAACGGCUUACCAAGGCAACGAUGCGUAGCCGACCUGAGAGGGUGAUCGGCCACACUGGAACUGAGACACGGUCCAGACUCCUACGGGAGGCAGCAGUAGGGAAUCUUCCGCAAUGGGCGAAAGCCUGACGGAGCAACGCCGCGUGAGUGAUGAAGGUCUUCGGAUCGUAAAACUCUGUUAUUAGGGAAGAACAAAUGUGUAAGUAACUAUGCACGUCUUGACGGUACCUAAUCAGAAAGCCACGGCUAACUACGUGCCAGCAGCCGCGGUAAUACGAGGUGGCAAGCGUUAUCCGGAAUUAUUGGGCGUAAAGCGCGCGUAGGCGGUUUUUUAAGUCUGAUGUGAAAGCCCACGGCUCAACCGUGGAGGGUCAUUGGAAACUGGAAAACUUGAGUGCAGAUGAGGAAAGUGGAAUUCCAUGUGUAGCGGUGAAAUGCGCNGAGAUAUGGAGGAACACCAG
rnacentral:rRNA from 1 species